GAAUAACAACUCAACACGCUGUCCGAGAAAUCUCUUGAGUCAUUUUUGCCUCAUCAGCCAACAUUGAGGUAAAGACGGCUGGCAAGAAAAGUCCCCAAGGAGUUGUACAUCAGCUCUGUAAGGUUAUUUGCGGAAAAAACAGAGAAAUCAACGUUAAAACCAAAGUUUUUCCAAGCCAGAGGAAGAAUUGGGCGCAGAAAGUCUCGUUAUAUGAGUAAAAGCUCUGUCGGGUGCAUUUUGUACUUGCAAAACAGUCACUCAGCUGUCAGAUGACCUAUAGCUGACAGGCAGCUACUCCAAAGGGCCGUCAGUCACCACCAACAAAGAAAAAAAGAGGAGGGUCUUAAUUACAAUCACUAUCCGUCAUGGUCAUGGCUUUUCUAUUCAUCCAGCUGAUUAGGGACAUGACAAAUGAAUGUGGGAAUAAACGGAGUGUCAGGCUACGAAGGGAGAUGGAUGUUCUCUCAGCAGGGAGGAGUGGGGACAAGUACAGUUAGCGUUGGCAAGUGGCCAGAGUUUCCGAGCUGAAUGUGUUUCCACUCGUCACCCCGGGGGCAAUCGACAGCAAGACUCCCACCGGCUCUGGUCCGUCUGUCACACUCCUUUUUUACUAUUUAUUAGUUAAUGAACAACAUGUCACAUCAGUCCACCUUCAUCCCCUCCAGCACAUGCCUCUGUGACCCCAGCUCACCUCCCUGACCUGGAGUACCUGGACGUCAGUCAAAGUCAAUUUUAAAUUUAUGAAAGGCCUCUUUGCUGAGAUUUGUCUUUUCAGCUUUUGCAGUGAGAAAGAGCCACCGAUGAAUAGGAAGAGUUGUACUGGCUGUUGUCUGUGUGUAAUUAUAAAACGGACAAGCUGAACAUUAGCUGAGCCUUAACAGUGAAUAUAUUAAACACCAUUUAGCAUGA